rnacentral:rRNA from 1 species
GCAGCCGCGGUAAUACAUAGGGGGCAAGCGUUAUCCGGAUUUAUUGGGUGUAAAGGGUGCGUAGACGGAGAAGCAAGUUGGUUGUGAAAUCCCUCGGCUCAACUGAGGAACUGCAACCAAAACUACUUCCCUUGAGUGUCGGAGAGGAAAGUGGAAUUCCUAGUGUAGCGGUGAAAUGCGUAGAUAUUAGGAGGAACACCAGUGGCGAAGGCGACUUUCUGGACGAUAACUGACGUUGAGGCACGAAAGUGUGGGGAGCAAACAGGAUUAGAUACCCC